rnacentral:rRNA from 1 species
CGGAGAGGGAGCAUGAGAAUGGGCUCGCGGCUGAUUAAGUUGUUGGUGGGGUAAAGGCCCACCAAGCCUGUGAUCGGUACGGGCAGUGAGAGCUGGAGCCCGGAGAUGGGGACUGAGACAAGGCCCCAGGCCCUACGGGGCGCAGCAGGUGCGAAAACUCGCCAAUGCUCGAAAGAGUGAGCGGGGAACCCCAAGUGCCCUUGUAUUGCAAGGGCUUUUCUCUGGUGUAAGGAGCCAGGGGAAUAAGGGCUGGGUAAGACUGGUGCCAGCCGCCGCGGUAACACCAGCAGCUCAAGUGGUCGCCGUUUUUAUUGGGCCUAAAGCGUCCGUAGCCGGAUAGAUAAGUCUCUAGGUAAAUCUUACGUUUAAGCGUAAGGCUUCUGGAGAUACUGUCUGUCUUGAGGCCGGGAGAGGUUGGAGGUACUCCCGGGGUAGGGGUAAAAUCCUGUAAUCCUGGGGGGACCACCGGUGGCGAAGGCGUCCAACUGGAACGGGCCUGACGGUGAGGGACGAAACCCAGGGGAGCGAGCCGGAUUAGAUACCCGGGUAGUCCUGGGCGUAAAUGAUGCGGACUAGGUGUGGGGAUAUCCACGAGAUAUCUCUGUGCCGAAAGGAAGCCAUUAAGUCCCCCGCCUGGGGAGUACGGUCGCAAGGUUGAAACUUAAAGGAAU